rnacentral:pre_miRNA from 1 species
AGGAGGAACAACCGCAGUGGCAGCGGCCAUCUGUAGAGCCUGGAUUCAGCUCCUGCAGUAACUACAGAGCUCUCAGUCUGCAGGGGCCUGGAUGCUCUGGGGGCGG